UUAUAUACAACCUCAACUCAUAUGGGACUACCCCCUGAAUUUAAGCAUAUUAAUUAGGGGAGGAAAAGAAACUAACAAGGAUUUUCUUAGUAGCGGCGAGCGAAAAGAAAACAGUUCAGCACUAAGUCACUUUGUCUAUAUGGCAAAUGUGAGAUGCAGUGUAUGGAGCGUCAAUAUUCUAGUAUGAGAAAUUAACGAUUUAAGUCCUUCUUAAAUGAGGCCAUUUACCCAUAGAGGGUGCCAGGCCCGUAUAACGUUAAUGAUUACUAGAUGAUGUUUCCAAAGAGUCGUGUUGCUUGAUAGUGCAGCACUAAGUGGGUGGUAAACUCCAUCUAAAACUAAAUAUAACCAUGAGACCGAUAGUAAACAAGUACCGUGAGGGAAAGUUGAAAAGAACUCUGAAUAGAGAGUUAAACAGUACGUGAAACUGCUUAGAGGUUAAGCCCGAUGAACCUGAAUAUCCGUUAUGGAAAAUUCAUCAUUAAAAUUGUAAUAUUUAAAUAAUAUUAUGAGAAUAGUGUGCAUUUUUUCCAUAUAAGGACAUUGUAAUCUAUUAGCAUAUACCAAAUUUAUCAUAAAAUAUAACUUAUAGUUUAUUCCAAUUAAAUUGCUUGCAUUUUAACACAGAAUAAAUGUUAUUAAUUUGAUAAAGUGCUGAUAGAUUUAUAUGAUUACAGUGCGUUAAUUUUUCGGAAUUAUAUAAUGGCAUAAUUAUCAUUGAUUUUUGUGUUUAUUAUAUGCACUUGUAUGAUUAACAAUGCGAAAGAUUCAGGAUACCUUCGGGACCCGUCUUGAAACACGGACCAAGGAGUCUAACAUAUGUGCAAGUUAUUGGGAUAUAAACCUAAUAGCGUAAUUAACUUGACUAAUAAUGGGAUUAGUUUUUUAGCUAUUUAUAGCUGCUAAUUAACACAAUCCCGGGGCGUUCUAUAUAGUUAUGUAUAAUGUAUAUUUAUAUUAUUUAUGCCUCUAACUGGAACGUACCUUGAGCAUAUAUGCUGUGACCCGAAAGAUGGUGAACUAUACUUGAUCAGGUUGAAGUCAGGGGAAACCCUGAUGGAAGACCGAAACAGUUCUGACGUGCAAAUCGAUUGUCAGAAUUGAGUAUAGGGGCGAAAGACCAAUCGAACCAUCUAGUAGCUGGUUCCUUCCGAAGUUUCCCUCAGGAUAGCUGGUGCAUUUUAAUAUUAUAUAAAAUAAUCUUAUCUGGUAAAGCGAAUGAUUAGAGGCCUUAGGGUCGAAACGAUCUUAACCUAUUCUCAAACUUUAAAUGGGUAAGAACCUUAACUUUCUUGAUAUGAAGUUCAAGGUUAUGAUAUAAUGUGCCCAGUGGGCCACUUUUGGUAAGCAGAACUGGCGCUGUGGGAUGAACCAAACGUAAUGUUACGGUGCCCAAAUUAACAACUCAUGCAGAUACCAUGAAAGGCGUUGGUUGCUUAAAACAGCAGGACGGUGAUCAUGGAAGUCGAAAUCCGCUAAGGAGUGUGUAACAACUCACCUGCCGAAGCAACUAGCCCUUAAAAUGGAUGGCGCUUAAGUUGUAUACCUAUACAUUACCGCUAAAGUAGAUGAUUUAUAUUACUUGUGAUAUAAAUUUUGAAACUUUAGUGAGUAGGAAGGUACAAUGGUAUGCGUAGAAGUGUUUGGCGUAAGCCUGCAUGGAGCUGCCAUUGGUACAGAUCUUGGUGGUAGUAGCAAAUAAUCGAAUGAGACCUUGGAGGACUGAAGUGGAGAAGGGUUUCGUGUGAACAGUGGUUGAUCACGAGUUAGUCGGUCCUAAGUUCAAGGCGAAAGCCGAAAAUUUUCAAGUAAAACAAAAAUGCCUAACUAUAUAAACAAAGCGAAUUAUAAUACACUUGAAUAAUUUUGAACGAAAGGGAAUACGGUUCCAAUUCCGUAACCUGUUGAGUAUCCGUUUGUUAUUAAAUAUGGGCCUCGUGCUCAUCCUGGCAACAGGAACGACCAUAAAGAAGCCGUCGAGAGAUAUCGGAAGAGUUUUCUUUUCUGUUUUAUAGCCGUACUACCAUGGAAGUCUUUCGCAGAGAGAUAUGGUAGAUGGGCUAGAAGAGCAUGACAUAUACUGUUGUGUCGAUAUUUUCUCCUCGGACCUUGAAAAUUUAUGGUGGGGACACGCAAACUUCUCAACAGGCCGUACCAAUAUCCGCAGCUGGUCUCCAAGGUGAAGAGUCUCUAGUCGAUAGAAUAAUGUAGGUAAGGGAAGUCGGCAAAUUAGAUCCGUAACUUCGGGAUAAGGAUUGGCUCUGAAGAUUGAGAUAGUCGGGCUUGAUUGGGAAACAAUAACAUGGUUUAUGUGCUCGUUCUGGGUAAAUAGAGUUUCUAGCAUUUAUGUUAGUUACUUGUUCCCCGGAUAGUUUAGUUACGUAGCCAAUUGUGGAACUUUCUUGCUAAAAUUUUUAAGAAUACUAUUUGGGUUAAACCAAUUAGUUCUUAUUAAUUAUAACGAUUAUCAAUUAACAAUCAAUUCAGAACUGGCACGGACUUGGGGAAUCCGACUGUCUAAUUAAAACAAAGCAUUGUGAUGGCCCUAGCGGGUGUUGACACAAUGUGAUUUCUGCCCAGUGCUCUGAAUGUCAAAGUGAAGAAAUUCAAGUAAGCGCGGGUCAACGGCGGGAGUAACUAUGACUCUCUUAAGGUAGCCAAAUGCCUCGUCAUCUAAUUAGUGACGCGCAUGAAUGGAUUAACGAGAUUCCUACU
ensembl:rRNA 28SrRNA:CR45837 28S ribosomal RNA:CR45837